rnacentral:rRNA from 1 species
CGUAGGGGCGAAGCGUUGUCCGGAAUUAUUGGGCGUAAAGCGCGCGCAGGCGGUUAUUUAAGUUGGGUGUUUAAUCCCGGGGCUCAACCUCGGGUCGCACCCAAAACUGGGUAACUUGAGUACAGAAGAGGGAAGUGGAAUUCCACGUGUAGCGGUGAAAUGCGUAGAGAUGUGGAGGAACACCAGUGGCGAAGGCGACUUUCUGGGCUGUAACUGACGCUGAGGCGCGAAAGCGUGGGGAGCAAACAGGAUU